rnacentral:rRNA from 1 species
UACGGGGGGGGGCAAGCGUUGUUCGGAAUUACUGGGCGUAAAGGGCUCGUAGGCGGCCAACUAAGUCAGACGUGAAAUCCCUCGGCUUAACCGGGGAACUGCAUCUGAUACUGGAUGGCUUGAGUUCGGGAGAGGGAUGCGGAAUUCCAGGUGUAGCGGUGAAAUGCGUAGAUAUCUGGAGGAACACCGGUGGCGAAGGCGGGUCUCUGGGCCGAUAUUGACGCUGAGGAGCGAAAGCGUGGGGAGGCGA